rnacentral:RNase_P_RNA from 2 species
AAAGUAGAUUGCCUUAUCGCUGCUAUUUUUAUAGUAGAGGAAAGUCCGAACACCGUAGCGCAAUAUAGUGGUUAACGGCCACCAGUUGUAAAACUAGGAAAAGUGCAACAGAAAGUAUGUACAGGUAAUGCUGUAGUGAAAUCAGGUAAACUCUAUAUGGUGCAAUGUCAUGUAUACCAACGUUUAAGGGUUGCGCGCCCAAUGUUGGAGGGUAGACAGCUAAAGUGUAUUGGUAACAAUGCACUCAGAUAAAUGAUAAGGGCUUUUUUAGUGUAUUUACUAAAAAAGUACAGAAUUCGGCUUACAGAUUUACUUUUAAA